rnacentral:rRNA from 1 species
UACGAAGGGUGCAAGCGUUACUCGGAAUUACUGGGCGUAAAGCGUGCGUAGGUGGUGAGUUAAGUCUGUCGUGAAAGCCCCGGGCUCAACCUGGGAAUGGCGAUGGAUACUGGCUCGCUAGAGUGCGGUAGAGGAGAGUGGAAUUCCCGGUGUAGCAGUGAAAUGCGUAGAGAUCGGGGAGGAACAUCAGUUGCGAAGGCGGCUCUCUGGACCAGCACUGACACUGAGGCACGAAAGCGUGGGGAGCAAACAGG